rnacentral:rRNA from 1 species
UCAGGAUGAACGCUAGCGGCAGGCCUAAUACAUGCAAGGCGAAGGGGCAGCAAUGUCACUGUCGUACGGGUGCGUAACGCGUAUGCAACCUACCUAUCACAGGGGAAUAGCCUUUGGAAACAGGGAUUAAUACCGCAUAAAGCAGGGACACCGCAUGGUGAUAUUGCUAAAGAUUUAUCGGUGAUAGAUGGGCAUGCGUCUGAUUAGUUAGUUGGUAGGGUAACGGCCUACCAAGGCGACGAUCUGUAGCGGGUCUGAGAGGAUGAUCCGCCACACUGGGACUGAGACACGGCCCAGACUCCUACGGGAGGCAGCAGUGGGGAAUUUUGGACAAUGGGGGNAACCCUGAUCCAGCAAUGCCGCGUGAGUGAAGAAGGCCUUCGGGUUGUAAAGCUCUUUUGUCAGGGAAGAAACGGUGGGGGCUAAUAUCCUCUGCUAAUGACGGUACCUGAAGAAUAAGCACCGGCUAACUACGUG